AUACGUGAGGGCAGUAUGGCUGUGACAUCAGUCAGCCCAUUGAUCACCAGAGUUGAUCCAGCUGAUCUGGCUGGCGAGGUGGGCGUCUCCUUCAUACCUCAUAGCUGCAUGUGCCACCCUCCCAAAGUCACUGGGUCAAGGAAGAUCACUACCCCUAGUAGAGUAGGAGGUUUUCUUUCUUUUUUAAAAUAAUUUUAUUGAGACAAACAUAGCAAUGAGAGUUUCAAAACCGAAUAGUAGCACAGUUU
rnacentral:sRNA from 1 species